AAAGCCUGGCGGCGUGCUUACACAUGCAAGUCGAACGAUGAAGCCCAGCUUGCUGGGUGGAUUAGUGGCGAACGGGUGAGUAACACGUGAGUAACCUGCCCUUAACUCUGGGAUAAGCCUGGGAAACUGGGUCUAAUACCGGAUAGGAGCGUCCACCGCAUGGUGGGUGUUGGAAAGAUUUAUCGGUUUUGGAUGGACUCGCGGCCUAUCAGCUUGUUGGUGAGGUAAUGGCUCACCAAGGCGACGACGGGUAGCCGGCCUGAGAGGGUGACCGGCCACACUGGGACUGAGACACGGCCCAGACUCCUACGGGAGGCAGCAGUGGGGAAUAUUGCACAAUGGGCGCAAGCCUGAUGCAGCGACGCCGCGUGAGGGAUGACGGCCUUCGGGUUGUAAACCUCUUUCAGUAGGGAAGAAGCGAAAGUGACGGUACCUGCAGAAGAAGCACCGGCUAACUACGUGCCAGCAGCCGCGGUAAUACGUAGGGUGCGAGCGUUAUCCGGAAUUAUUGGGCGUAAAGAGCUCGUAGGCGGUUUGUCGCGUCUGUCGUGAAAGUCCGGGGCUUAACCCCGGAUCUGCGGUGGGUACGGGCAGACUACAGUGCAGUAGGGGAGACUGGAAAUCCUGGUGUAACGGUGGAAUGCGC
rnacentral:rRNA from 1 species